rnacentral:rRNA from 1 species
GUUGAACGCUGGCGGCGUGCUUUACACAUGCAAGUCGAACGGUAACAGGCCGCAAGGUGCUGACUGGUGUCGACCGGGUGCGUAAUGCAUCGGAACGGGCCCCGUCGUUGUGAGUCACUGAUCACUAGAGUAGCUAAUAGCUCAUACGGGCUAUUGUUUUAAACGGGGUAGUUCAAAACUGAGCGCCGGUGUUGCUGCCACUUAUAGAUGAAUCGGUGUUGGAUUAGCUAGUUGGUGGGGUAAAGGCUCACCAAGCCAACGAUCUGUAGCUGGUCUGAGAGGACGACCAGCCACACUGGGACUGAGACACGGCCCAGACUCCUACGGGAGGCAGCAGUGGGGAAUUUUGGACAAUGGGCGCAAGCCUGAUCCAGCAAUGCCGCGUGCAGGAAGAAGGCCUUCGGGUUGUAAACUGCUUUUGUAAGGAAAGAACAGGCUCUGGUUAAUACCCGGGGCUAAUGACGGUACCGUAAGAAUAAGCACCGGCUAACUACGUG